GACGAACGCUGGCGGCGUGCUUAACACAUGCAAGUCGAACGGUGAAGCGCCUUCCUUUUUGGUGGGUGUGGAUGAGUGGCGAACGGGUGAGUAACACGUGAGUAACCUGCCCCCUUCUUCUGGAUAACCGCAUGAAAGUGUGGCUAAUACGGGAUAUUCUGGGUCUGUCGCAUGAUGGGUCUGGGAAAGAUAUUGUUUCGGUGGGGGAUGGGCUCGCGGCCUGUCAGCUUGUUGGUGGGGUGAUGGCCUACCAAGGCGGUGACGGGUAGCCGGCCUGAGAGGGUGGACGGUCACACUGGGACUGAGACACGGCCCAGACUCCUACGGGAGGCAGCAGUGGGGAAUAUUGCACAAUGGGCGCAAGCCUGAUGCAGCGACGCCGCGUGAGGGAUGGAGGCCUUCGGGUUGUGAACCUCUUUCGCCAGUGAAGCAGGCCUGCCUCGUUUGUGGGUGGGUUGACGGUAGCUGGAUAAGAAGCGCCGGCUAACUACGUG
rnacentral:rRNA from 1 species